rnacentral:rRNA from 1 species
UAUUGCACAAUGGGGGAAACCCUGAUGCAGCACCGCCGCGUGAGUGAAGAAGUAAUUCGCUAUGUAAAGCACUAUCAGCAGGGAAGAAAAUGACGGUACCUGAGUAAUCAGCCCCGCCUAACUACGUGCCAGCAGCCGCGGUAUUACGUAGGGGGCAAGCGUUAUCCGGAUUUACUGGGUGUAAAGGGAGCGUAGACGGUAAAGCAAGUCUGAAGUGAAAUGCCAGUGCUCAACACUGGAACUGCAUUGGAAACUGUUUGGCUGGAGUGCAGGAGAGGUAAGUGGAAUUCCUAGUGUAGCGGUGAAAUGCGUAGAGAUUAGGAGGAACACCAGUGGCGAAGGCGGCUUACUGGACUGUAACUGACGUUGAGGCUCGAAAGCGUGGGGAGCAAACAGG